UGGUGACUUGCUGUGUGAUCUUAUGCAGGUCUCUUGGGGAACAUCUACACAAGGAUAAAAGACCUAUGGUGCGGCUGGCCUGGGUCAGCUGACUUGGGCUCGUGGGGUUCAUUCUGCAGGGCUAAAAAUUGCUGUGUAGACAUUCAGGCUUGGGCUGGAGCUUGAGCUCUGGGACCCUCUCCCCUCACAGGUCCCAGAGAUCUGGUUCUAGCCUGAGCCCAAACAUCAGCCCUGCAAGCCCACGUCAGCUGACACGGGCUACCCACGGGUUUUUAUCCCCAUGUGGAUGUACUCUUAGAAUACCCCCAUUCACUGCAGUGGGGGGGUCAAGAUUUCAGCCUCACCUGCAAAAUGUGGAAGAUAAUACAGCACACAGUUUGAAGGCGGUAUCUCCUGAUCUUUGAGGUUGGGAAUACUACCUCUUUGCAGUGGAAGAGGAGACGCCAGUUGCAAUACUUCAGGCCUUUAUGGCUCAGAGGAGCACAUCUCUGCAAAGACCUCCCACCACCCCUGUCACCACAUGAGCUUGACCUAAAUUCUGCACCAAGGUUCCUGAUAUUUCAGUACUCCAGCACAACAGAUGGCAAAUUCUACAGCAACUUCAGCUACGUUACAGUUCCUGGCUCUGCUACUGGCCUGCUGGUGACCUUGGGGCCUGAGCAGAGCCCCGCAGAGAGGAGCCGCAAUCACGUGGCGGGGCGAUGAGCAAGUGCUUGAGCAGCAGAGCGUGUAAGGUGCCUCCAGGGUGGGAGGUGAACUCUGCGGAUGAACCUCUGAACUCUGGUGCUGCAUUGGCCAAGGACAGCAACUCCCCAACAUCCAGCUACCUGAACCGUUCAGGAAGCAACGUGCAAAGCUAGUCCAACCAGUCUGAAGAAACCAACAUCUGUAAAUCUAUUCCUGGAGAAAUGGCUGGAUUCCAAGUUUAGGUGGCUACCACGCCUCCCAACCUGGCUGUUCCCCUGCCUGAUUUGCCUGCAGCCUGCCAGAAAGUCUUGGCUUCGGCUCUCUCCUGAGUUAGGAAGUGAGGAAUACUUCAGGAUCUAGUGUGACGGGAUGCCAGGAAGAUCCAGGCUUCUAA